rnacentral:rRNA from 1 species
GACGAACGCUGGCGGCGUGCUUAACACAUGCAAGUCGAACGGAAAGGCCCUGCUUUUGUGGGGUGCUCGAGUUGCGAACGGGUGAGUAACACGUGAGUAACCUGCCCUUGACUUUGGGGUAACUUCAGGAAACUUGGGCUAAUACCAGAUAGGAGCUCCUGCUGCAUGGUGGGGGCUGGAUGGUUUCGGCGGUUGGGAAUGGAAUCGCGGCCUAUCAGGUUGUUGGUUGGGUAGUGUCUUACCAAGGCCUGGAGCGGUAGCAGGGCUGCGAGGGUCACCGGACAAACUAGGACUGGAAUGAGGCACAGCCUCCAACGCGAGGCAGCGGUGGGGAAUAUUGCACAAUGGGCGGAAGCCUGAUGCAGCCAAGCAGCGUGCGGGAUGACGGGAUUGGGUUUGUAAACCGCUUUCGCCUGUGACGAAGCGUGAGUGACGGUACUGGGUGAAGAAGCACCGGCUAACUCCGUG